rnacentral:rRNA from 1 species
GACAGAGGUGCCGAGCGUUAGGCGGAAUCACUGGGCUUAAAGCGUGUGUAGGCGGAUCGUUAAGUACCUUGUGAAAUCCCACGGCUCAACCGUGGAACUGCUGGGUAUACUGGCGGUCUUGAGCCACCUAGGGGCGAGCGGAACAAGCGGUGGAGCAGUGAAAUGCGUAGAUAUCGCUUGGAACGCCAACGGUGAAAACAGCUCGCUGGGGGUGUGCUGACGCUGAGACACGAAAGCCAGGGGAGCGAACGGGG